rnacentral:rRNA from 1 species
AACAGCUCAAAUUUGAAAUCUGGCUCUUUAGGGCCCGAGUUGUAAUUUGUAGAGGAGCUUUUGGCGCGGUGCCUUCCGAGUUCCCUGGAACGGGACGCCUUAGAGGGUGAGAGCCCCGUACGGUUGGACACCAAGCCUCUGUAAAGCUCCUUCGACGAGUCGAGUAGUUUGGGAAUGCUGCUCUAAAUGGGAGGUAAAUUUCUUCUAAAGCUAAAUAUUGGCCAGAGACCGAUAGCGCACAAGUAGAGUGAUCGAAAGAUGAAAAGCACUUUGAAAAGAGGGUUAAAUAGCACGUGAAAUUGUUGAAAGGGAAGCGUUUGCGACCAGACCUUUUCCUAGCGGAUCAUCCGGUGUUCUUCGCCGGUGCACUUCGCUAGGUCGAGGCCAGCAUCGGUUUCUGCAGGGGGAUAAAAGCCCAGGGAACGUAGCUCUUUCGGGAGUGUUAUAGCCCUCCGCAUAAUACCCUUGCGGGGACCGAGGACCGCGCUUUUUGCAAGGAUGCUGGCGUAAUGGUCGUCAACGACCCGUCUUGAAACACGGACCAAGGAGUCGAACAUUUAUGCGAGUGUUUGGGUGUUAAACCCUCACGCGUAAUGAAAGUGAACGGAGGUGAGAGCCCUUACGGGUGCAUCAUCGACCGAUCCUGAUGUCUUCGGAUGGAUUUGAGUAAGAGCAUAACUGUUCGGACCCGAAAGAUGGUGAACUAUGCGUGGAUAGGGUGAAGCCAGAGGAAACUCUGGUGGAGGCUCGCAGCGGUUCUGACGUGCAAAUCGAUCGUCAAAUCUGCGCAUGGGGGCGAAAGACUUAUCGAACCAUCUAGUAGCUGGUUACCGCCGAAGUUUCCCUCAGGAUAGCAGUGUUGUUCUUCAGUUUUAUGAGGUAAAGCGAAUGAUUAGGGACUCGGGGGCGCUUUUUAGCCUUCAUCCAUUCUCAAACUUUAAAUAUGUAAGAAGCCCU